AUUGAACGCUGGCGGCAGGCCUAACACAUGCAAGUCGGACGAGUGGCGGACGGGUGAGUAAUGUCUGGGAAACUGCCCGAUGGAGGGGGAUAACUACUGGAAACGGUAGCUAAUACCGCAUACCAUCGGAUGUACCCAUAUGGGAUUAGCUUGUAGGUGGGGUAACGGCUCACCUAGGCGACGAUCCCUAGCUGGUCUGAGAGGAUGACCAGCAACACUGGAACUGUGACACGGGCAAGACUCCUACGGGAGGAAGCAGUGGGGAAUAUUGCAAAAUGGGCGCAAGCCUGAUGCAGCCAUGCCGCGUGUAUGAAGAAGGCCUUCGGGUUGUAAAGUACUUUCAGCGAGGAGGCGUUACUCGCAGAAGAAGCACCGGCUAACUCCGUGCCAGCAGCCGCGGUAAUUC
rnacentral:rRNA from 1 species